rnacentral:misc_RNA from 1 species
GUAUUUUGAAUUGUUUUAUUCAUAAUAUUUUUCAGACAAAGAGUUGAGAUAAUAGUUGAUGUUUGGGGCUGAUCAAAAGAGACCAACCCUGACAUUGCACACAAGGUGGAUAUGGAUUUUUAAAGAGUGCCAUAAAACACUCGUUUGUGAAUGAUCCUUCCGCAGGUUCACCUACGGAAA